CAACUUUUAACAAUGGAUCUCUUGGCUCUUGCAACGAUGAAGAACGCAGUGAAAUGCGAAAAGUAAUGCGAUUUGCAUGAAUCUGUGAGUCAUCAAGUCUUUGAACGCACCUUGCACCGUGUGAGCAAUUGCACGGUAUACCUGUUUGAGAAUCGUA
rnacentral:rRNA from 1 species